ACGGAGAGAACGCGUUCAAGCUGACCGGUUUUUUAUCGGCCAAAGGUGGCGUGUCGAACGCGAUAAGGACGCGCGCGCGAGAACGCGUCGGCGUGUAAAUGCGAGAGCGUGUACCGCGGUACCCACACGUGAACGAAACCGAUUUGUAAAAGGGCAACGGCCUCGUAUGGCCCCGCCGAGUUCAUUUCCCCGUUCCUCUGUCUCUCACAGUCGCCGGCCUAUUACCGUAACCUUGCCCUUGCUCUCGCAUUUCCGCCACGCUCGAACGUUCCUCGAACCCGUCGUCGUCUUCCUGGUUCGGGCGGCGCCUCCCUACUCCCGGCUCGACGAACGUAAUAGAAAACCGAUGAACUUGAACCGAUUCGCACCGCAAAAAAAACCGCAGAGAUCGUUGUUCAUUUUUAUAUAAAAAUUUUAUUUAUAGUCCGUCGCAGAAGGCUAUGUUAUUCGAAGGAAAGGAAAGAAACAUGUUCACAUUUUACCAGAAUCCAUUUCUCUAGUCUACAAUACGAAAGAGCAACGCCGCGUGUGACAUAAAUAAUGAAAGUGUGAAAAUGAGUCGCCCACCAGUGCAGAAACUUUGAGCGGUCGUAAUUAGCGUUCAAUUGUCAUUCUAUGAUCUAACAGCACCAUUUUAUAUACUCAGUACACCAGGCUGGUCGAGACGUACGCGUACCGCUGACCUUGACGUAGGCGUCGCCGUAGCGGUACAUGUUUACAAAACACGGAGAGCUCGACGAUUAUAUCUACCACCAGAGAAUCGUGCGAUCAAGAAGAGAAAACGAGAGGGACGUGAACCGAAGAUCUCAAUAAAAAUCUUUGUCCUCCUGGCAAGUGCCGGACUUGUCCCUGUAUCUGCCUGGCCCGCAGUUCUCGACGCCGUCGCCGAGCAACACCAGCUCGUCGCGUUUAUUGCUCAGCUCGUUUCGUUCGUCGGACAAGCCUGACGGUUCCUCUUCUUCCUUUGUGGACAACUGUUUCUUCAGCGAGAUCCCGGGCCUGGCCGCUUCGGUCGCCUCCUCCUUCGCCGCGAGAUCGUCGGCCUGCGCGAGGUCGUCCACCAUUGAACCCACGCGGACCUUCUUGCUCCGCGGACCGUCGAUCAAUUCACGGCUCUUCUGGUUCCUGGGCCCCGUCUUCGACGCCUUGACGCCGACGGAUAUCUCCGGACCGUCCUUCUGGGCCUUCGGCGACUCUUUCGCCGUGCCGGUCACCUCGUCCUCAGUUACCGCCGCGGUAACAUCGUCUUUCUGUAUGCGGACUAUCUCCACGUGGUAGGGCUCCCUGCCCUCCUCCCUUUCCUCGGUCUCGUGUACCAUGGCCUCCGACGGUUUCUCGGGCGCCUCAUGUUUUAUGACGUUGCUUCUGCCGAUCAACGCCAGCGAGCCCAGGUCCGUCGCCACCUCGCUUGUCAACUUAUUCAGCCAAGAUUUGUCUAUCGAAUCCAACACCAGGAUUACGAAGUUAUCCCAUUUCGUGUCCACGUUCACAUCGCCGUUCUGCCGUUGGUUGUAGCUAGCUGGCGCUGCCUCUAUGCCGGCCAACGAUCCGCUCAGUACGCCUGCAAAGAUAUGUAAACAAUAACCUAGAAUCGGGCAUUGUUUGCAGUUUCUAUAUGACAACUUAUUUAGCCGAAUGUUAUUGGUGAAAUUAUUCUACGUUAACCGAGUUGCAUAGAUAAAUGAUUCUCUUCUUAAUUGUUUUAUUAUUUCUUGAUUUAGCUAAGACCAAUAUAACAUUGGCAUUGUUUCCGAUUUGCUCAAUCUAUUUAGUUCUCAAUUUUAUGCAGGCACGAAGGAGACGUCAAGGUCGACGGGGUUGAAGAAGAUGGCGAAACCAGAAAACGCGGAGAAAAUUAUGACAACGGCGUACCUGACAGCAUGAAGAAGACGCCAAGGUCGACGGAGUUGAAGAAGAUGGCGAAACCAGAAAACGCGGAGAAAAUUAUGACAACGGCGUACCUGACAGUAAGAGCAAGCUUGCUAGGGGCACCAUUUCGCCGUAGCUUCCCGGAUCAGCUCGGAUCGGCUGAGCUGAGCGAAGUCAGAUCCUCGACUGUGGGAGAUCCGUCGUCCGCUUCCUUGGCGGCCGCGGAUCGCCACGUAUAUGGAUCGAGGGAGCAUCACUCUGCUGGAGAGGGUAACAAGGCUCGCGUGGUCGCCGAUUGACUUAGCCGGUUAACGAGUCCCAUCCACCAAGACGGGUUACGUAAUUGCCCGAUAUUUUUAUCCGUUUUCUUGCUAGCGCAAGGAUGAGAAAGGGUCGCCGCCGUCUAUUUUUCCCAGGAUCUCGGAACUGUCGCCUCGUCGAUUCACGGACCCUCUGAACGAAACUCGAGAAAUCACUACCCAGCGAUUAGAUAACAACUUGGAGACUCGAGAUUAGCUCUUGUCUGUCGACAGACUACCACGAUAAAGAUCCAGAAGUUGCGCACGGUAUAAUGGAGGAUCAAGAAGGAAACACAGAGCGUAAUAGAAUAUGUCAGAGAAAAGUUUAUUGCACCGUCCCUACAAGUUUGCAAGACAUGCCGUUUGCCCGCCUUAUUUACAAUGAUAACGUUUCACCGCGGGACUAUGCACGUGUGUGCAAAGCAUAUGGGAGCAUCGAGCAUACGCAUGGUUUGAGCGAACGAGGAACAUGAGCUCGUCCGUAGAAAUUGCGCGCGGUUCCUGCCGAAUAUUCGUGGCACGUUCCAGUCCGAUCGGCAUCCUAUGACGGCACAUGCUUCCCACUGCGCACCAGGCUGUCCAGAAGUUUCGGCACAAGCUUCAUUGCGAUUCUGGGGAACAGAGAGUGCAAAUGAAAAUCAUCAUGGCCAUUGCUCCGACAAAUGAAACAGUCGAUUCUACCCAUGCCCAAAGGAACAGAAUGAAUUAUGUAGUCGGUACUCACGGUAUUAGAGACAGUCGCUGGUUUCUCAUCUGAUUGCAACGACGUUCCGCAUCGUGCGAGAGACCGGAUCGGCACCGCUUCUUCAUUCUGGUUGGGCUCGCUUGAGAAGAGGAUUCCGAACGUUCCUCGUCCACAGAUGUAUUUCCGGGCUUCGUGGUCUCGUCGACAGAGUUCUCCAUCUUUUCGGUAGCCGCUUCGGUACUCGUCGUGGAAGAUUCGCUCGCAUCUUCGUCAGCGGUGGAGUUCGACACUGAAGCCUCGUUAGGAAGACCCGAGUUCUGAGCAGAAUCGAGCGGCUCUAUGACCUCAGGUUUCGCAGUGGUUUCCGAGGGCGAAGCAGCUGUCGAAGUCUCCGGGGGCUUGGUCGGCUGCGAGCUUGUCGGCUUCACCGUGAAGUCGGCGUAAUCGUAAAAGUAGUCGUACUCCUGUAAGCCGUUGAUAGAAGACAAGAAUCGUAAACGUGGAAACGAAAAUUACCGUUUCUUUCUAUUCUUCGAAAUCAAUGGAUAGCGUUACCGCUAUGCAAUCUCGGAGAAUUUAAAUAAACGAUGCGGCCCCUGCUAGCUGCAAUCCGAGCGACACGAGAGUCUAAACGGUCGGGCGCAGCGUCGAAGCCCCGCGAAAUAUUUAGCCGCAAUUUUCUCGAUAUAAUUUGCCCUUAGCGCAAAGUCGACGAUACAUAGUCACGAAUAAACAAAGGCUGCGCAAAAAUUGACACGAGGAAACGGAUGGAAGUCGACGGUUCGAAGACGAAGCACGCUGGAACGAAGAGGAAGCGAAAGGAGGGCAAUCAAAUGGAAAGAACAUCGCUGUCGCUACCCGGCCACCGAGCAGAGAAAACGAACUGAAACGAUAAUAGUUUACG